GAUGAACGCUGGCGGCGUGCCUAAUACAUGCAAGUCGAGCGAACAGAUGAGGAGCUUGCUCCUCUGACGUUAGCGGCGGACGGGUGAGUAACACGUGGAUAACCUACCUAUAAGACUGGGAUAACUUCGGGAAACCGGAGCUAAUACCGGAUAAUAUAUUGAACCGCAUGGUUCAAUAGUGAAAGACGGGUUUGCUGUCACUUAUAGAUGGAUCCGCGCCGCAUUAGCUAGUUGGUAAGGUAACGGCUUACCAAGGCAACGAUGCGUAGCCGACCUGAGAGGGUGAUCGGCCACACUGGAACUGAGACACGGUCCAGACUCCUACGGGAGGCAGCAGUAGGGAAUCGUCCGCAAUGGGCGAAAGCCUGACGGAGCAACGCCGCGUGAGUGAUGAAGGUCUUCGGAUCGUAAAACUCUGUUAUUAGGGAAGAACAAAUGUGUAAGUAACUAUGCACGUCUUGACGGUAACUAAGCAGAAAGCCACGGCUAACUACGUG
rnacentral:rRNA from 1 species